rnacentral:rRNA from 1 species
GACGGAGGAUGCAAGCGUUAUCCGGAAUGAUUGGGCGUAAAGCGUCCGCAGGUGGCAGUUCAAGUCUGCUGUCAAAGACCGGGGCUUAACUUCGGAAAGGCAGUGGAAACUGAACAGCUAGAGUAUGGUAGGGGCAGAGGGAAUUCCUGGUGUAGCGGUGAAAUGCGUAGAGAUUAGGAAGAACACCAGUGGCGAAGGCGACUUACUGGACUGUAACUGACGCUGAGGCAUGAAAGCGUGGGGAGCGAACAGG